GACGAACGCUGGCGGCGCGCUUAACACAUGCAAGUCGAGCGAUGAAAUCUUGACAGAUCCCUUCGGGGUGAAGAUAAGAUGGAUUAGCGGCGGACGGGUGAGUAACACGUGAGUAACCUGCCUUAGACAUUGGGAUAGCCUCGGGAAACCGGGAUUAAUACCAACUGAAAUCAUAGGUGCCCAUGCACUAAUGAUCAAAACUCCGGUGGUCUAAGAUGGACUCGCGUCCCAUUAGCUAGUUGGUGAGGUAAUGGCCCACCAAGGCGACGAUGGGUAGCCGGCCUGAGAGGGUGAACGGCCACAUUGGAACUGAGAAACGGUCCAAACUCCUACGGGAGGCAGCAGUGGGGAAUAUUGCACAAUGGAGGGAACUCUGAUGCAGCGACGCCGCGUGAACGAUGAAGGCUUUCGAGUCGUAAAGUUCUUUUAUAUGGGAAGAUAAUGACGGUACCAGAAGAAAAAGCCCCGGCUAACUACGUG
rnacentral:rRNA from 1 species